rnacentral:sRNA from 1 species
GCUGGGUGUGGUGGUGCCCACCUGUAAUUCCAGCAACUUGGAAGUCUGAGGCAGGAGGAUCUUGAGUUCAAAACCAGCUUGAGCAACUCAGUGAGGCCCUAAGCAACUCAGUGAGACCCUGUCUCUA